CUUUGGGUAAUUUUUUUUUUUUUUUUGACAUUAAACCAUCUGGAAAACAAUCUUGUGAUGAUGCAAAAUAAUUUCAUUUGUACACCUUCGCAUUCUCCAGGAUGGUAUAAUCCUGCUAGGGUUUUGGAAACCCUAACAGAGAAAUGAAGAAGAAAUAGAGAUAAGAGAGAGAAACAGAAUAGGUAGAAGAAAAAUGGAGUUGAGAGAAGAGAGAGACUGUAUUUCUUGAUAAUUCUUGGAAUGGAAUUACAAGAAAAGCACAAUUGAGCUAUAUAGGCUCAUAACAGCAACUGCCUCAACUGAUCCAACAGAAUCAGUUGCUAAAACUACCCUUCCCGCCAAUUACAACUGCACUAUAAUUCUUUACAACACUACUUACACUUUAUUCCUAUACUUCUUCCUAUAACAUGUAUCGGUUCCAUUCCGUCUUGGUUCUUGCGAAGAACCA
rnacentral:misc_RNA from 1 species